AGGGCUCCCAGCAAAGAGGCUGGAGGGGUAGGAGCUUGAGUGACUUGAGUGCUGAGGGCAAGAGGAGAGCUCUGAGAGCUCAGCUGUGGGCCACUGGAGCUGGAGAUGCCCUCGGGAGGGCCCAGAGCCACCGAGUUGUGGACGCUAGCUACCAUGACGCUAUCCUGACUUCCUUCAGACAACCUCAUCAAUGUGUCCCAGAACCGCACCUCUCCAGAGCUCUACCCAACUAGGAAAAGACAGGAACAGGCUGGGGCUAAGGAUCUACCUGCCAACAUACAUGUCCAGCAGAGAAGCAAUUACAGAAGCCAGAACUCCCACCUUCUGCACCCUACAAAGAAUUUUGGUCGAAACCCCCAGAGGG